UUCAACCAAAUACACUUUGUCAGGACUUUUUUCUUUCUCUCUCUCCCCUCACCCCAAGGCUGUACUUUCAACCUCUACAAAAAUAGCAUUCAAGAGCUGCAUAAUUUGAAGUAAAUUGAAAGGAAGGGAGUGAUGGCAGUGGCAAGAAAGAUUGCUGAAAAAAAUGAAGGCCAUAAUAUUCACUUCAUAAGGGUGUUUUGCAAUUUAUAGCUGGAAAAGUACUCAGAGAUCUCAGUUUGAAAUGCAUGACGACUCAGCACUUGAUUCUAAACAAAUGGCAAGCAAAGGACAUCAAGAACCUCCUGACUAUCCCAAUCAAGAACGGUCACCAUGUACAUACAGCCAGGAAGUUUCCCACGUA